UACGGAGGGUGCAAGCGUUAUCCGGAAUCAUUGGGUUUAAAGGGUCCGCAGGCGGACAUAUAAGUCAGUGGUGAAAGCCCAUCGCUUAACGACGGAACUGCCAUUGAUACUGUAUGUCUUGAAUUCGGUCGAAGUGGGCGGAAUAUGUCAUGUAGCGGUGAAAUGCUUAGAUAUGACAUAGAACACCGAUAGCGAAGGCAGCUCACUAGGCCUGGAUUGACGCUCAGGGACGAAAGCGUGGGGAGUAAACAGG
rnacentral:rRNA from 1 species